rnacentral:rRNA from 1 species
AGCUCCAAUAGGAUAUAUCAAAGUUGUUGCAGUUGAAAAGCUCGUAGUCGAGUGUGCGGGGGCUUCACGGCGAUUGAAUGCAUAUUCAGUCCCAACGCAAACCCCCCUUUCGCCACUGAGAGUAAACUGGGGUGCUCAAAGCAGGCUUUCAUAGCUUUGAACAUUGUAGCUUGGGAUGGCGGGAUCUCGUUGUAGAGUCUCGUUAGGGUUGGCUGUGUUUAUAACACAAUUUCGUAUUGUUAGUCAAACAGGAACAGUUGCGGGGGUACUCGUACUGGAAAGUCAGAGGUGAAAUUCUUGGAUUUUUUCACGACGAACGACUGCGAAAGCAUUUACCAAGGAUGUUUUCA